UACGUAGGGUGCAAGCGUUGUCCGGAAUUAUUGGGCGUAAAGAGCUUGUAGGCGGUUUGUUGCGUCUGCUGUGAAAACGCGAGGCUCAACCUCGCGCCUGCAGUGGGUACGGGCAGACUAGAGUGCGGUAGGGGAGAGUGGAAUUCCUGGUGUAGCGGUGGAAUGCGCAGAUAUCAGGAGGAACACCGAUGGCGAAGGCAGAUCUCUGGGCCGUAACUGACGCUGAGGAGCGAAAGCGUGGGGAGCGAACAGG
rnacentral:rRNA from 1 species